rnacentral:rRNA from 1 species
GCAUACAAUAAGCGGAGGAAAAGAAACCAACAGGGAUUGCCUCAGUAACGGCGAGUGAAGCGGCAAGAGCUCAAAUUUGAAAUCUGGAGCCUUCGGCUUCCGAGUUGUAAUUUGAAGAGGGUGUUUCGGUUGCGGCCCUGGCCUAAGUUCCUUGGAACAGGACGUCAUGGAGGGUGAGAAUCCCGUACAUGGCUGAGGGCUUGCUUCUAUGUGAAACCCCUUCGAAGAGUCGAGUUGUUUGGGAAUGCAGCUCAAAAUGGGUGGUAAAUUUCAUCUAAAGCUAAAUAUUGGCGGGAGACCGAUAGCGCACAAGUAGAGUGAUCGAAAGAUGAAAAGCACUUUGAAAAGAGAGUUAAACAGUACGUGAAAUUGUUGAAAGGGAAGCGCUUGCAAUCAGACUCGCUUUCGGUUGAUCAACGUUCCUUUUGGUUCGUGCACUCUGCCGUUUGCGGGCCAGCAUCAGUUGGGGCGGUGGGACAAAGGCGGUGGGAAUGUGGCUCCCCUCGGGGAGUGUUAUAGCCCGUCGUGCCAUGCCACCAGUCCCGACUGAGGUCCGCGGUUCGCCUAGGAUGCUGGCUUAAUGGUUGUAAGCGACCCGUCUUGAAACACGGACCAAGGAGUCUAACAUCUACGCGAGUCUUUGGGUGUCAAACCCAUGGGCGCAAUGAAAGUGAACGGAGGUGGGAGUCCUCGGACGCACCAUCGACCGAUCCUGAUGUUCUCGGAUGGAUUUGAGUAUGAGCGUAGCUGUUGGGACCCGAAAGAUGGUGAACUAUGCCUGAAUAGGGUGAAGCCAGAGGAAACUCUGGUGGAGGCUCGCAGCGGUUCUGACGUGCAAAUCGAUCGUCAAAUUUGGGUAUAGGGGCGAAAGACUAAUCGAACCAUCUAGUAGCUGGUUCCUGCGA